AUCAAACAAAGCAGAGUUAUAAUGUACAUAAACCUGUCAUACAGAUUUACUUCUGCAAGAGUAGCAAACACACAUCUCCCCACAUGUGUACAUGCAUAUACACGUGCCCUAGUCAUCUCCAAGUGACUUAUUGUCACAGUUUAAACACUGACAGAGGUUUGUACAUGGCAGCUCAUGCAGUUUACAUGUGCAUCUACCUUUAACACAAUUCGUUUUUUUACAUGAGCAGUGCACAAGUUCCAGUAUGGCCUCUGGAGCUGGCGGAAGAGUCAUCCAGUCUACUCCGUAGAAAUCUCCUACCAUCUUCCAGCCAUGAUUUACAGGAGGAGGAAUGUCUGGCAUGCACUCAAGACACCUCCUGUGUACUGUAGCCUGAUAGCUUGCCCGCUGGAUGUGUUUAUGCAAGGAGUCUUUGUUUGGAGGCAAGUCUCUCUCAGAACAUUUACCUGAUUUGAACAGGUUGGCCCUUGCAAUAUUGACAUCUUGGCAGUCCUUCUGAUCAUAUAGAUCACACGUGUAAGCUUCCAGAGCCUCAAAUAGUUCUGGUGAUGGGGUGAAACUUGUUCCUAGUUCUCUAAACAUGGUGAUGUAUUCUGUUUUUGAACUUAGUUUUUUGUAUGCUUUUUCUUUUCCAACCUUAUGCAGAGCGCUCACUGUGUCACAUCCAGAAAAGGCAUGCAGACCUACAAGGGCAUCACAUUUGUCUUCGCCAAGAUGGGCAUGUAGCUUGGUAAUAUCAGUAAUGUGUGUGUCUCUCCCCUUGGCUGUAUGGAAAUGGAGGUGGCCAUCAAUGUGGCUGCAGAAAGCUAGAGCCAGCACAAAGACAUCGGUGUCUGGGCUCUUGAUUACCAGGUCUUGGCUGUGUUUGGCUGCAUGGGCUGCAUGCAGAAUCAUUCUGGUGUCUGCCUCCUCUUGACUUGUCUCUAGGUCUUUGAGUUCCAGUAUCUCAAGGUCAGUAUUGCUCACAUUCAUCUUAAUGGCGUGACACUUGCUUCCAUGUGCAACAAUGAUGGUUAUAUUGCCAAUUAUAUUCUUUGCAGUUAAGCUCCAAUGUUGGAAGAAAUACUCCAGUAAGUUUUCUUUAUUUUGGCCACAUGCCAGAAAUUUUUUCCACUGCUUUGGGGUUUUUUGGUCAUCUCCAUAGAUUUUGAUUUUUUGGUAGCCCUGUUCUGUGCGCCGACUACGCUCAGCAUUUUUGAUGCUCAGGUCGCUGUAUGUGUCACAUACAAAAUGAAGCUCUGUUGACCUUGUUGCCUUAGCUGAGUGAACUAAUGUGUUCAGUACAUGAUCCGCAUACAACCCAAAUGUUGGCUGUGGCUUUAGUUGUUGCACCAGAGCCAUAGCAUCCCAAAUCCAAACUGAGCCAUCAGGAAUGUCACUCACUGUUGCAGGCGGGUUGAUCUCAUCUAGCAAGAUGUGCAUCAGCUUAGCUUUGUUGGUUUUGACCAGAGAGCCAUCAAAGUUGGAAAUUGACUGUGGAAAAGGACCCAAACUGUAAGUGAGCAUUUCAUUGAUGUUAAUUUGCCUAACCCCGCCCACAACAAUUAGCCUUGCAAACAAGUUGCGAUGUGAUGUCAGGUUAAUUUCUUUUCCUCUAAUUUUUGUGACUGUACUUUGUCCAUUGUCUUUAAAUGUUUUUAUUUUCAUUUUCUUUAUAGGGUCAUGGAAUGAUGCUUGGCCAUGGACUAUCCUUUUUUCACAGAAUUCAGUGAGUGCCUUAACACCUCUUUGUUUAGCCCCUAGUAAGUCUGUGGCAACAUUUUCUGAUGCCUGUUGGCCAGAAGAGAUGUGACAAAGAGAAUCUCCAUCCAGCAAUGGGUCAAAAGGGUUAACCAUAUUUUGGAUAGUGGCCACAAUGUUCAUCACAUCAGCCUGAUCUCUCUGCAUUCUGGUGUUGUCUAGCUCAGAGUUAAGAUGUCCUACCGGGCACUUUCCUGCCAUUGUUUUGCAUUCAAAAGUGAUUGCUGCCCGCUCAUGUUGUGUUAGGGUCCAGCGGUGAACUGCACCCUUGUUCAGAGAGAACCCACUGAUGCCUCCCUUUGUCUUGGAGUCACGAUUGGCUGUUUGCUCAAUGACUUGAUCACAUGCUGUGCCGGCAAAACCAUGACUUUGAUGUCUUUGUGCCACAAAGUCACCUGAAAGAAGCUGCUGGUGUGCUGAAGGGUGUGUGUCUUCCAGGUUGGUCAUUUCAGCCCAAUAUGCCGUCAAAUACCUUGCAUAAUUUACUUUGUCACAGGCAAAAAACCAGGGCAGCAUACUUUGCACAGUGGACAAAUGGAGAGCCCAGUUUCCCUCUCUUGUUGCCCUGAUGAAAAGAAGCAAAUCUUCCAUCAUGUCAAGGUAUGUGCUCCAAAAUGCAAAUGUGUGGUUACAGUUGUUUUUCACCACAAAUUCUUCAUAACCUUGCAGUAACUGCUGAAAUGUGUCUGAUGUUAGCAUGCCCUUGAACUCUUCAGAGGGAAAACACUCCUGCAGAUCUGUUGCCACUUUUAAAGCAGCUGCAUUUUGUUCUUGUGUGAGUGUAUCCAAGUAUGCCCACCAUCGUAGUUUCUGGAGUGCUUCCAUCAGGAGUUUGUGAGCCCGUAUGCUCCUGUUGUAGUGAUGGCCGGAGAUCACUCCAUCGAUUGAGCCUGCGGCCACCAGGUCAGACUCAAUCAAGAUGUCCUGAAAGCCUGCAUCACCAUACAACUUUCCUAUGCAUGACAGAUACGCCAUUGCUGUGUGGAACUCUCCCAUCCUCACUACGAUUCUCUCAGACUGUCAGCAAUGGCAAUGGAGCGGCUCAGGAUGGUGUGGACAGUGUUGAGAUCAGUCGGACUGGCGUCAAUCACUGGGAGGUAGCCAAUAUGUGUAGAUGGUGGUAGUACUGUGUCUUCCUUCAACAUUAUAUUAUACCCUGUCCAUCCAGGAAGGAUUUUGUGCUGGGCCUCAGGUACUUUCAGUAAAAAGAAUGCAGCAUCAAUUCUUCUACCGGUAGUUUGGGCAUAUCUGUAUUGGUCCUGAUGGAGAUCAAUCUUCAAUGCAAAGUUCUGUGGACCAGACCGCUUGCCUCUUGUGUAUGUUGAAAGAUUCAGUGGAGGAGGAUGAACCGACCGCUCUCGUGUUCUCUGUCUGGGUAAUGUGUCUGGUAAGGAUGCUGUAUAACUAUUUAUGGCCCUCUGAAUUAUUAUACCAUUGGUGUUAUGUGUUGUCCCUUUACCUGAAAGAGUCUCCUCUCCAAAGUCAUUAUUGUCCCAGACAAGAGUCACAGGCACUUCAUCACUGAUUUUUUCAGGGAUGUAUACUUCUCCCCUCUCCAUUUGUAGAUGAGCAAGGGCAGUAUCAUGCUCAAGGACCUGGGAAUUAGAUGAGCAGUGACCCAGACCAUUUAACAGCCCUAUAAGCUGUGCAGAGCCAGUCAUAUGCCGAACUGCCAUUGCAAGUGAGCACUGUUUAGGCAUGAGCCACCUUCCUCUGGUUGCCAGGGUAAUAAUGUCCUGACAAGUGGACACUAUCUUUCUGUUGUCCUCUGAAGUGACAUCAACACGUUCAUCUGAUGGUUGUGAUGACAUUCCUGAUAUCCAUGCAAUGAAGUUAAAAAGUUGGUGAGGCACUACACUCAUGCCAUUUUCCAGUGUGAGAUCACUUGCUGUUGGAGGCCAUGGUAGCUUUGGGUAUAUUUUUGAUGUAUUUUGAAUUAUUUCUUUAAGUCUCAUUGCUGCGUGAUAUAACUCCCGAGAAUCAUCCGUGGUGUUGGUGGCAUUUUCUAUAUUUCCUUGACUUGUCAUUUCUCCUUCACUUUCUUCAGAUGAGGAGGAAGCAGAGGAGAAGGCAACUUCAUGCACAAUCUCGUCAGCUGACAGAUUGUCCACAUAUACAAGAUACCGGGUAUAAUCUCGAUAGCAAGUGAAGUGAUACCGUGCUUCACUAGCCACCAAGUCCCUGUCUUGGAUAUGGAGAAGGAGAGACUCGUCCCUUUUCUCUUCAGCGGCGAGUAGCAAUUUCCCGGCAUGGAGUGUUUCACACUGUGUUAGCUUUUCUUUUACCCUUUUCCUGCUGUGUGACUGAACCUUGUACUUCUCAUGUUUGCAUAUAAUGCAUUGUACUGGAAGCAGGUGUGGGGCCCGCUUGGACGUGCAGGAAUCACGGGCGUAAGAUCUCAGAGCCCGUGUUUUAACUGGAGUUGCCUCACCAUCCUCUGCAUCUACCACUAAAAGUGCA